GAUGAACGCUGGCGGCGUGCCUAACACAUGCAAGUCGAGCGAUCUUCUUCGGAAGAGAGCGGCGGACGGGUGAGUAACGCGUGGGUAACCUGCCCUGUACACACGGAUAACAUACCGAAAGGUAUGCUAAUACGGGAUAACAUAAGAAAUUCGCAUGUUUUUCUUAUCAAAGCUCCGGCGGUACAGGAUGGACCCGCGUCUGAUUAGCUAGUUGGUGAGGUAACGGCUCACCAAGGCGACGAUCAGUAGCCGACCUGAGAGGGUGAUCGGCCACAUUGGAACUGAGACACGGUCCAAACUCCUACGGGAGGCAGCAGUGGGGAAUAUUGCACAAUGGGCGAAAGCCUGAUGCAGCAACGCCGCGUGAGCGAUGAAGGCCUUCGGGUCGUAAAGCUCUGUCCUCAAGGAAGAUAAUGACGGUACUU
rnacentral:rRNA from 1 species